AUACGUAGGGUGCGAGCGUUGUCCGGAAUGAUUGGGCGUAAAGGGAGCGUAGGCGGCGCGGUAAGUCUGGAGUGAAAGCCCUGCUUUCAAGGUGGGAAUUGCUUUGGAUACUGCCGCGCUUGAGUGCAGGAGAGGUUAUCGGAAUUCCCGGUGUAGCGGUGAAAUGCGUAGAGAUCGGGAGGAACACCAGUGGCUAAGGCGGAUAACUGGACUGCAACUGACGCUGAGGCGCGAAAGUGUGGGGAGCAAACAGGAUUAGAUACCCUGGUAGUCCACACUGUAAACGAUGAAUGCUAGGUGUAAGAGGUAUCGACCCCUUUUGUGCCGGAGUCAACACAAUAAGCAUUCCGCCUGGGGAGUACGGCCGCAAGGUUGAAACUCAAAGGAAUUGACGGGG
rnacentral:rRNA from 1 species